UUAAUACUCCCUCCAUCCGAAAAUACUUGUGAUCAAAACAAAUAGAAAGGGAUGUAUCUAUAACUAAAAUACAUCUAGAUACAGCCUCCUUUAUUCAUUUUGAGGACAACUAUUUCCAGACGGAGGUAGUAGUAA
rfam:Triticum aestivum genome assembly, contig: Triticum_aestivum_CS42_TGACv1_scaffold_583729_7BL